CUUGACGACCAUAGAGCAUUGGAACCACCUGAUCCCAUCCCGAACUCAGCAGUGAAACGAUGCAUCGCCGAUGGUAGUGUGGGGUUUCC
rnacentral:rRNA from 5 species